rnacentral:lncRNA from 1 species
CACCUCUUCUUCGCAUCUCUUUCAGAUGUAUAUAAACUUGAGAAUCAAUAGAAAUCAGGACUAAUCGUCCAUUACUUUCAUUCAAUCUCGUUUUACUCUAACACGUUAUCAGCAUGCUCUUCAUCUGAACGAUUUCGAGAUCGAAAAGAACACAAGGUAAGAAGAAAACUAGUCGACGACAUCCGAGCAAGCCAAUGGCUUCGAGGGAUAGCUGCC